CACGUAGGGGGCAAGCGUUGUCCGGAUUUAUUGGGCGUAAAGAGCUCGUAGGCGGCUCAGUAAGUCAGGUGUGAAACCUCCAGGCUCAACCUGGAGACGCCACCUGAUACUGCUGUGGCUAGAGUCCGGUAGGGGAGCGUGGAAUUCCUGGUGUAGCGGUGAAAUGCGCAGAUAUCAGGAGGAACACCAGCGGCGAAGGCGGCGCUCUGGGCUGGAACUGACGCUGAGGCGCGAAAGCUAGGGAGCAAACAGG
rnacentral:rRNA from 1 species